CUUCUGCAUUUCAUUCAUGUUAUUUAAUAUAUUGUACGUGUGAUACUUUCUGUGGGAAAGUUUCAUAUAACAUUUAUUCAAGCAUUUAUGUCAAAAUGUUGGCCAUAAAUACGGCGAACGUUAUAAAUUUGUUAAUUACAACGUUUCACAUUGCAAAUCUCGCUGUCACUCCUGUUAAUCAUCGUGAAGUAGAACUCCACGAUGCAAUUUCAAAUUUAAUAAGGGAUUCUCUAAAAGACGAUAUUACGAUUGAAUAUGAUUGGGGACUUGAUUUUGAUGAUCCAUCGGAACCUCAAGCUGUACAGUUUGUAGAUUCGUAUGAUCCUCAUGCUGAAGAAGAUAACUAUGAAAUGAAGUUUGUAUUGUAGAUGACGAAGGUGGAAGUGUAGAUUUAAAUUAUAAAAGAAAAGCGGUUGAAUAUUGGAACAGUGGAAAAAAAAGACGUUUAUCCGUUUCUGUUGUACAGAAUUGUUUUAGAAAGGUAAAACAUGUUUCGCAAUUGUACAGAUGGCAGGAGUAUAUAAUGCGUGGAGGGACAAACAGAGACAAAUUGAUAUUCAUUGCCGAAUAUGUAUUAAUAAAAUUUCAAGAAACUA